rnacentral:lncRNA from 1 species
ACUCAGCCUUGCAUAUGCGCAGAUUGAGGAAUUUAUCGAUCUGAGCUGAAUCGUAACUGUGCGGAAACUCCUUAGUUUCCGUUCAGCUCCGCCGAUAAAAUUCACAGUAUGCGCAUGCGCGAGGUGGUGGGUCGUAUCGUGGCUUUUCGUGUCUGUUUCGAUCGUACUGUUGACCGAUGGAAACAGUUUUUUAUCGUUGUGUUUCCGGGACGGGCCGAUUCAACCAGAAUGUUGGAAUUCGCGGUUAAAUAUAACAGAUUAUUGGAGAUAAUGGAGGAUAGAGUGGGGGGAGUUUGCGAUAGUGGAGCC